GAGAGACAGAGAAAGGAUUUGCCCACUGUAGCUGCAAAUACAGUUGCCCCGUCAAGAAACAGAUCAAUCACAUUCUCAACAUAUCAUAUGCGAACUCAAAAGAGAAAUUAUGAAAUAUCAAGAAAAGUAUCAAUCACACUCUCAGCAUUGAAAAUUUAAAAUUAAAGAGAAAGAGAAUAGACUUACUAACCAUGGCUACAACCACACUCGCCCUGCUCAGAAACGGGUCAAUCACAUUAUUGACAAUUAAUUAACUAAGAAAAGAGAAAGUAGUUGCCCGCCAUGGCUGCAACUAUAGUUGUCCCGCCAAAAAACGGAUCAAUCACAUUAUCAAUAUCUCAUAUGCGAACUCAAAAGAGAAAUUAUGGAACAUCAAGAAAAGGGUAAUCACAUUCUCAACAUUUGAGAUUUAAAAUUAACAAGGAAAGAAAAUGGACUUGCUAACCAUGGCUACAACUAUAGUUGCCCCACCGAGAAACGGGUCGAUCACAUUCUUAGCUGUCGAGUCUUAAACUAAAAAGAGAAAGAGAAAGGAUUUGUUAUACAUGGCUGCAACUAAAGUUGCCCCACCAAGAAACGGGUCCAUCACAUACUUAGCAUUCAAAUUUUAAACUUAAAAGAGAGAGAGAAUUUGCCCACCAUGGUUGCAACUAUAGUUGCCCUGCCAAGAAACAGAUCAAUCACAUUCUCUACAUCUAAUAUGCGAACUCAUAAGAGAAGUUAUGAAACAUCAAGAACAAUAUCAAUCACAUUGUCAGUAUUUUAGAUUUAAAACUAAAUGAGAAAGAGAAAGGACUUGCUAACCAAGGCUGCAACUACAAUUGCCUCGCCAAGAAACAGGUCAAUCACAUUCUUAGCAUUCAAAUUUUAAACUAAAAAGAGAAAAAAAAAGGAUUUGCUCGCCGGGGUUGCAACUACAGUUGCCCCGCCAACAAACAAAUCAAUCACAUUCUCAACAUCUCAUAUGCGAACUCAAAAGAGAAAUUAUAAAAUAUCAAAAAAAAGAAUUAUCACAUUCAGCUUUUGAGAUUUAAAAUUAAUGAAAAGAAAUGGUCCUUGCAACCAGGCAUUUGAUGGGCUACUUACCAUGGCUACAACUACACUUGCCGCACCAUGAAACUAGUCAAUCUCAUUUUUCUUAGCAUCUAAUUUUAACUGAGAGAGAAAGAGAAAGGAUUACCCACUGUGGGCUGCAACUAUAUUUUGCCCCACCAAGAAACAGAUCAAUCACAUUCCAACAUCUCAUAUGCGAACUAAAAGGGGAAAAUUUAUGAAAACAUCAAGAAAAGGUAAUCACAUUCUCACCAUGUGAGAUUUCAAGAAAAAGAAAAAGAGAAGGACUUGCUAACCAUGGCUUCUUCAACUAUAGUUUUCACGCAAAAAAACACGUCAAUACACAUUCUUAGAUUUCAAAAUUUUUAACUUAUAGAAGAUAAAGAGAAAGGAUUGCACCGUUUCGGGCAGCAAACUCGCAGUUGCCCAGACAAGAAUAGAAACAGCAACGAUCAAGUCACAUUCUUAACAUUAAAUAUGGAACUAAAAGAGAAAUUAUUGAACAUCAAGAAGCGGAAUCUCAGUCUCUCCACCUUUUACAGAUUCAAAUUAAACGAAAAGAUAAAAGAACGUGGCUAACCAUUGGCCUUCAACUACGUUCCCCUCCCCGACCACAGCGUCAAUCUCUUCUAGCCUUCGACUUUUACACUGAAAACGAGCGCAAGGAUUGCCCCCGGGGCGGAAACGACGUUGCCCGUGUACGGGCUUAGAUUCUUGAACGCCUGACCGCUUGCGGCGACCUUAGACGCUUUUCCGCAAAUUCGUAAGUAAGUAUAAAUAGCUCUUAAAGACAACCGAAAAGAAGAUAAGAGCAAGUGGAAAAAAGGAAAAUUAAGAGAGAGAAAGCUUGGAGAAUGCUAAAUGGUAUUCCAAGAUUGGAUGAUGGCCUACAAGUGAGGGGGGCCCAUUUAUACAAGUAAGAAUUUCUAGAAUGUUCUGCUUGACUAGAGAAUUCUAUAUACAAGAGUUUCCAGAAGGCUCCACCAUGUUCUAGGUUUUCCACAUUUUCUAGAAUGGGAUAGAGAUUUCUAGAACUUUCCCAAUGUCCAGAAGAUCCAUGAAGGCCCUAGAAUGUUCUAGGCUUUUUGUGUGCCAAUUAAGUGGGUUGUAACAUUCUCCCCCACCUAAUCUGGCGACGCCCUCUGUCGCAGUCUCUUUGAAAGUCGGCGAUCUUGUCCUGAACUGCAUAAGGACUUCUUCUUCUCCCAGCUAGCUUCACUGUCCGGCUGUCCCUUCCAUUUAACUAGGUACUCCACGUACCUCUUUCCCCUUUUUGAAUAAUUCGCCGGGCUAGUAUAGUGUCGACUGUUUGUCGAACGAAGCGUAAUGGAUGUGAGCUCUAAGCGAUUCUCCCUACUCGGGUCUUCCAAAUCCCAUGAUAAGCUUGAGAAAGGCUUUACAUGGAAGACUGGAUGGAUUUUAAUUUUGAGGCACUCAAGUUGGUAGGACACCUUGCCACCUCCUUUUGUGAUGGGGAUGGUCCCCCCCCCCCCCCCCCCUCAUAUCUCCGUGCUAGUCCUUGUGAAAGGCCCCUUGAAUAUUUGGCUUGAUGGGUGAGAAGCUUCACCAUGACAAGGUCUCCUUCUUCGUACUCGCUUUGGCCGCCGCUUGCUUAUCCGCCCAUUUCUCUUCAUUCUUUGGCCGCCUUGGCCAAGUAAGCGUUGCCAUAUCCGGCUUUUUCAUGCCACCCCUUGGCAAAUUUAAAAGCUCCGGGACUUUUGCCCGUAUACCCGGUAGCACGGCGGUUGGCGUUCAAAAAGGGUUGUUUACCCGUAGCAACGCGAAUGGCCUGGAAUUCGUUGCCAAUCACUUCCUGAAGGUUGUUAUGAAAAUUGGCCACGUCGCAGUAAUUUUGGCCCAAUCCUUCUGGUGGCACUCACCUAGUGCCUUAUGUAGAGCUCCAUAAAGCAUUCACCCGUUCGUUGGCCGUCGGUUGCGGUUGAAAGCUUGUUAGAGAAGUUAAGCUCCGUGCCCAGAGCUUGAAAAUCGCGGUCCAAAAGCGCCCCGUGAACGAGAGUCCCGAUCACUGACAUAUUUUUGGAACUCCCCAAUAUUUUACCACAUGUGCCAAGAAUAUAACCGAGCCGUUCUCCGUCUGCGUGCAAUCCUUGGUGGCUGGUAUGAAGGUUGCAUUUUGGAAAAUCGAUCGACCACCACGAUAAAUAGUGACCCUUCCUCGGACUUUGGAAGACUCUGAUAAAGUCCAUGAUUCUCUCCAAGGCCGAUCCGGUGUGGGCAAGGGUUCUAAUAAGCCCGGGAGGGCUUUGUCCCACCUUUGUCUGUUGGCUACAAGCCAAGUCUUCACAUAGAGUUUCCACGCGUCCCGCAUAUGUGGCCAUAAUACGUGCGCUCCACCAUGCAGUGUGCGAUGAUACCCGGAUUUCCGGCCACUUGGAGUCAUGCACUCCUUAAUUUUCUUUGCGAAGCAUUCCCCACUUGGGCAAUAAAUCCCGAUCUCCUUUUGCAAGAGAAGAUCACCCUUAUCCAAAAUGCCGUGUCUUGCCUUGAUGAUGCUAUCGCUAAGAGUUUUGGCCACCGAUCAUGAAAAGCCCUCCUUGUCUCUCCUUCAAAAGACUUGGGGUUGGCUAAUGGCGGCAAGUUCGGCCCUUCUGUCUUAAUGCAUCUGCCCCAAGUUGGCUUGAACCCUGCUUGUACUCCAGAUUAGUCAAAUUCGGCAAGAAAGUCUUUGCCACGAGCCUGCUUAGGAUUACUUCUUUUGGGUCAGAAGUAACUCGUCGCGAUAUUGUCCGUCUGACUACGAACUUGGAUCCAAGCCAAUAGUUGCCUCCAUGUCCGCAAGCAAUGUAACAACCGCGGUCAUCUCUUUUCUUGCACCGUUAGCGCCUUUCGGCGUCAUUUAACUUUUCGGCUUUCAAAGGCAACGGAUGGCCCUCUUGCAUCAAUACUCCCCAAUAGCACAAAUCUGAGGCAUCGGUGUGUACUUUCCGAUGGCUUGUGUGUCGAACCAGCUUAGACGGGUUCCUCCAUAAUUGCUUCUUCCGGCCUUGGAAAGCAUCCUCGACUUAGCCGUCCAUUCCCAUGAAUGGUCUUUCUUGAGAAGAUCCGUCAAUGGUGCCGGCUAUGGCCGAAUAUCCUCGGUGAGUUCGUCGAUAAUAGUUGGCUUAAGCCAAGAAAAGAUCGUAGCUCGGUGACUUUCUUGGGGUUUCCCAUUCUUGAAAUGGCAUGUAUCUUGCCUUGUCCCAUGGCUGAUUUUUGUCCCCCGUCCGCCACAUUUCCCCAAAAAGUUCACUCCGAUUGAGCAAAGCGCAUUUUUCCUGUUUGACAUAAUAGCUCAUUUUCCCUUAAAACUUGGAGGAUUUGUCGUAGAUGCCCCAAAUGUUCUUCAAAGAAGAGCUAUAGAUACAAUGUCGUCCAAAUAUACUACGACAAUCGUUCCAAGAAGGGAUGUAUUAUUUGAUUCUCAAAGUACCAAAUGUGGCAUGGGCCAUGAGUAAGGCCAAAAGGCAAUGACUAGAAAUUCAGAAGGAGCCGUACCUCGUGCACAUGCGUCUUGCUCCGUCCUCCUCGGCAAUCCGACUUUGAAUAAUACCCCGAUCUAAAUCCAACUUGGUAAACCAUCGGCACUGCCAGCCUUCAAACCAAAGCGGCAUAAGAGAAGGGGUAUUUGUUCUUGAUGGUUCCUUGUUAAGUGCCCUGUAGUGAUACAAGGCGAGGGACCCCGUCAUGCUUCCGUUGGAAACAUCGGUGCACCAUAGGGACUUUUUGAUGGUUUGCUGAAGCCGGCAUCCACAACUCCUUCAAUUGCCUCCGUAGCUCUUCUAAUGUCCGGGGUGCCAUCCGAUAGGUGGCCAUGGCCGGUAUCAAAACAUUGGCGCCUACCUCCAAUUCAUGGCAUGGAUCCACCUCCCCUUGGUGGAAGUCUCUUUGGCAAUUCCGGGCAUGACAUCUUUGAGUCUCCAGCACCUCCGCACUUCCCUUGGUAAGCCACCCGUCCUGGUGCUAGAAGUUGCUUCAUUGAGCGUAAAGUGGCAAUGAAUGUAAGCUCUCUUCUUGAGUCCCUCUGGAUAGUUGCAUCGCGGACAAAAGUUUUGGCCUUCAAAGUGUUUCUCUAGCCAGUGGCACCAUGCAUGCAUUUCCUUCGCCCUGAUGCACAUAGUUUUUCGGCGAAGGGCUGGGGAAUGCCCGCACCCCAUCCCAAACUCCAUCCCCAACACAUGGGGUAAUCAUCCAAAUGGGCACGACAGAGAUUCCACUUGGCCGCUCCAAUUGCCAUGUGCAGUCCUACGUUCCCUAGCAACCCAUAUAUAGAGCCGUGCCUUCAGUUGACGGCCUUUAACCAUCCUUGCCCCAUCUUUAAAUUUGAUGCCUAGUCUCUCGGCCUCCUUUAUUUCAUGAAAAUAUGAGAAGCCCCGUGUCAACUAGCAAAAUGGAGGAACCGCAUACCUUGUCCUCACGUAAUACGUCCCUUUUUUUGUGGCUUGGCCGAAUCUACCUUGGCUAAUUGCGUUGAGCAAGCGUAGUCGAUCCCAUCUUGGUCUCCUCUCAUGGGUCUCUUCUUCAUUUGGAUGAGGGCCGAUAACUUGGCUCGCUUUGGGCACUCUCGACAAUGGGCGGACCAUCACUAGAAGCACCUGUAGCUUGGGUUUUAUCGCCGCCCACCUUGUCAUAACUGUGGGGGGGCUUGCCCCUUGUUAUGUGUGGGUGGCUUGGUUCUCGCAUCUUUUGCUUGGUUUGAGGUCUCUCCCCCACUUUUGCCUUGAUAUAAUUUUGCCCCUUUGCUUUGGAAGAAUUCGCUUCUCUUGAAAUUCAACAAGGGAUUCUCCACACAGAUAGCACUAGCAAGAUCUUGAGGCCCCGUCGCUGUCACCUCAACCUUGGGCCCAUGAUUUGUAGGCCUCAACCAAAUGUAAAAAGGGCUUCUUUGUCCCCCCGACACACGGGAAUCUCCAACAUGAGUGCCGAGAACUCCUUCACAUACUCCCGCAUGGGUAAUUCUUGUGUGCGAGUCGGCGUAGCUUGGCACGGGCCUCGUGUUCGGAAUCUCGGGAUAUGAAUUGCCCUUUUUAUUUCCCCUUGAAGUCCUCCCAAGAUUCAUAGUGCAUGUGCCUUCUCAUGUCGGCAUCCUCUCCUCCACCAAGCAUUGCCGCAUCCGCCAAAAUAUAAAGGGGCCGUCUUGAUCUUCCUUAGCAUCAUCUCUAUGCUCAUAGCAUCGAAAUAGUGCUCCAAGUUCCAUAAGAAAUUAAACAGCUCCCUGCAUUUCUAUCUCCAUGGAAACUUUUGGUCUAGGACCAUCAAUUCUAGAGCAACCAAUGGGAGAGAACGUACCUGGGCCGCCGCGGCCUUGCACAAGGAGACAUCUCCCUUCAUUUCCUUCAUCUCCUCUCGUAUAGCGGCAAUGCUCGGCAUGAACUAAGUCAUUUUGGAGUCAUGUACUUCCUCAAGUCAUCGACGACAAGGUUGAGAGUGGCUUGCAUCUCCCUCGGAGUCGCACCCUCGCCUUCUAGCCCCGCAAUGCCUUGGCCCAGUUCCUCGAACUUUUCUUGGCCAUCCGCCACAGUACGCUCGACCUUGUCAAGCCUGGCUUCGAACGUGGUCAUUAUAUCCCUUGACUUGUCCCUCCGACCCUUGCCUCCGGCAGGGUUUCGAUCCUUCUCACUUGGCUCCACACCAAUGGUUAUGUCCGACGUCGCGGCCAUACCUCCUCCUUGUCCCAACGUAGCCGGCUCUGAUACCAACUGUCACGGGCUUAGAUCCUUGAAUGCCUUGACCCGUGCGGCACUUAGACGAUUUUCCCGCAAAUUCGCUAAGUAAGCCUUAAAGACAACCGAAAGAAAGAGCACAAGUGAGCAACAAGGAAACUUAAGAGAGAGAAAGCUUGGAGAAUGCCAAAUUUGUAUUCCAAGAUUGGAUGCCUACAAGUGAGGGGGUUGCCCCUAUUUAUACAAGUAAGAAUUUCUAGAAUGUUCUAGCUUGGACUAGAGAAUUCUAUAUACAAGAGUUUCCUAGAAGCCUCCACCAUGUUCUAGGUUCUUCCACAUUCUUCUAGCAUGGGCUAGAGAUUUCUAGAACUUUCCCCAAGGUCCUAGAAGAUCCAUGAAGGCCCUAGAAUGUUCUAGGCUUUUUGUGGGCCAAUUAAGUGGGCUUGUAACACCCGCCAAGAAAUAGAUCAAUCACAUUCUCUUCAUCUCAUAUGCGAACUAAAAAGAGAAACUAUGAAACAUCAAGGAAAGAAUCAAUCACAUUCUCAACAUUUGAGAUUUCAAAUUAAAAGAGAAACACAAGGGACUUGCUAACCAUGUCAGCAACUACAGUUGCCUUGCAAAGAACCGAGUCAAUCUAAUUCUUGGUAUUCGAAUUUUAAACGAAGAGAAAGAAAGGAUUUGCCCACCAUGGCUACACUACAGUUGCCUCGCC
rnacentral:lncRNA from 1 species